GGCUUCUUCAUGACUCACUCACAUGGCUGGUAUGAAGGUCUCAUCCCUUGCAACUUGGAUUUCUCCAUGUGGCUGCUCAAGUUUCCUCCCAAGAAGUUUCCUCCCCAGAGUGAGUGCCGCAAGACAGCAAGACUGAAGCCCCAAGGCCUUUUAUGACCCAGCCCUGGAUGGCAAUAUGCAUAUGUUGGCUUGCUGCCAUUCAGUGGACACAAGUGACCUGAGCGGAGCUGUUAACCUGUGUUGGGAAGAGAAGAGGAAGAGGCCAGGAAUCCCCGGGCCUCAUCCAGCUCGAGUAACAAGAGCAGGGGUAGCACAGCCCCGCUGUCGGGGCCUCAGUCUUGACCAGGUCAGGGCAUCGUGCCCUGCGUGCCCCGAGCUCUCAAGCAGCCUGCUCCACCUUUAUCUCUAGGUCAGCUCACUCGUUUCUACGAAGUGCAUGAGGUGUGUAAUAUUUGGGUCAUGCAGCUCCAUCCACGAAGGCAGCUCUCUUCUGGAAGUUCUGAGACACGGUUGGUGACGGUGAGCCUUGUGGGGGCGAUGAGCGCAGAGUGAACUCAGGAUGGACAGAUGCCAGCGAUGAGCAAAUAAUAAAUAGAUGAAAUACUCA